rnacentral:rRNA from 1 species
ACAUGCAAGUCGAACGCAGUAGCAAUACUGAGUGGCAAACGGGUGAGUAUAAUGUGGGAAUCUGCCUUUUGGUUUGGAAUAACACGGGGAAACUUGUGCUAAUACCGAAUAAGCCUUUACAGGGAAAGUUUUAACGCCGAAAGAUGAGCCCGCACUUGAUUAGCUAGUUGGUAAGGUAAAAGCUUACCAAGGCAAUGAUCAAUAGCUGUUCUUAGAGGAAGACCAGCCACAUUGGGACUGAGACACGGCCCAGACUCCUACGGGAGGCAGCAGUGGGGAAUCUUGCACAAUGGGGGAAACCCUGAUGCAGCGAUGCCGCGUGAGUGAAGAAGGCCUUUGGGUUGUAAAACUCUUUCGUCGGGGAAGAAAAUGACUGUACCCGAAUAAGAAGGUCCGGCUAACUUCGUGCCAGCAGCCGCGGUAAUACGAAGGGACCUAGCGUAGUUCGGAAUUACUGGGCUUAAAGAGCUCGUAGGUGGUUAAAAAAGUUGAUGGUGAAAUCCCAAGGCUUAACCUUGGAACUGCCAUCAAAACUUUUUAGCUAGAGUGUGAUAGAGGUAAGUGGAAUUUCUAGUGUAGAGGUGAAAUUCGUAGAUAUUAGAAAGAACACCAAAUGCGAAGGCAACUUACUGGGUCACUACUGACACUGAGGAGCGAAAGCAUGGGUAGCGAAGAGGAUUAGAUACCCUCGUAGUCCAUGCCGUAAACGAUGUGUGCUAGACGUUGGAAAUAUAUUUUUCAGUGUCGCAGCGAAAGCAUUAAGCACACCGCCUGGGGAGUACGACC